GCCACCCUUAGAUUCCCCCUCUCCAAAAUUCUUUCUUAGAAACCCUACCUGCCUUCCUCUAUUUCCACCAUAAAACUACCGAAAUCUAUGGCUUCCAAGGCAAUUGAAGUAUUAUACCAACCUCCUAUAACUCCUACACGCCUGUUUAUUGAAGGUUCAAGGCCUGACCACGAAGAGGCUUGGUCCAGGAUUCGUUUGAUUUGAGUUCUAUGGCCGUCUCCGUCCUUGCUCUAGCAAACCAUGGUUGUUUGAACCUGAUCUUGACUUCUCCUGCUCACAUCAACGACUUUCCAAGCCUUUCUCACUAUUUAGGUUCCUUUGGAACCAUGAAUUUUGAGGUUCUUCUGAUUUUUUUAGAUACGUUCUAGAUCCUUGUUUUCCAUGAUCUUUUAAACGGUUUCUCGAGAUUUCUUUCAAAAAACUAUGCUUUCAAACCUUUAUCUUUCCAAUUUAGGGUUUUGUUAAGUUGUUUAUCUGAUUUUCGUUAAGUUUCUU
rnacentral:lncRNA from 1 species